GGGCGAAUAGCUCAGAGGGAGAGCACUUGCCUUACAAGCAAGGGGUCGGAGGUUCAAGUCCUCCUUCGCCCACCA
rnacentral:tRNA from 1 species